rnacentral:rRNA from 1 species
UAGCGUAUGUUAAAGUUGUUGCGGCUAAAAAGCUCGUAGUUGGAUUUCUGUUGAAAACUUCUGGUCCGCUCUAUGAGCGUGCAUCUAGAUUGGUUUCGGCAUCCGCUCUGCAUACGUGUCUGCGCUUGAUUGCGUGGUGCGGAGGUAGGGCCUUUUACUUUGAGGAAAUUAGAGUGUUCACGGCAGGCUUUCGCCUUGAAUAUAUUAGCAUGGAAUAAUAACAUAGGAUCUUGGUUCUAUUUUGUUGGUUUCUAGGGCUGAGAUAAUGAUUAAUAGGGACAAUUGGGGGCAUUCGUAUUGCGGUGUC